rnacentral:misc_RNA from 1 species
UCCGGUUUGUCACCGGCAGUCCCAUUAGAGUGCCCAACUUAAUGUGGCAACUAAUGGCAAGGGUUGCGCUCGUUGCGGGACUUAACCCAACAUCUCACGACACGAGCUGACGACAGCCAUGCAGCACCUGUGUUACGGUUCCCUUUCGGGCACGAAGCCAUCUCUGGCAACUUCCGUACAUGUCAAAGGUGGGUAAGGCUUUUCGCGUUGCAUCGAAUUAAACCACAUGCUCCACCGCUUGUGCGGGCCCCCGUCAAUUCCUUUGAGUUUCAGCCUUGCGGCCGUACUCCCCAGGCGGGGCACUUAAUGCGUUAGCGCCGGCCCUCAAGGGGUCGCUCCCCCAAGGACCUAGUGCCCAUCGUUUACGGCGUGGACUAC